CCUACGGGAGGCAGCAGUCGAGAAUCUUUCACAAUGGGGGAAACCCUGAUGGUGCGACGCCGCGUGGGGGAAUGAAGGUCUACGGAUUGUAAACUCCUGUCAUGUGGGAGCAAAUUAAAAAGAUAGUACCACAAGAGGAAGAGACGGCUAACUCUGUGCCAGCAGCCGCGGUAAUACAGAGGUCUCAAGCGUUGUUCGGAAUCACUGGGCGUAAAGCGUGCGUAGGCGGUUUCGUAAGUCGUGUGUGAAAGGUGCGGGCUCAACCCGCGGACGGCAGUUGAUACUGGGAGACUGGAGUGAAGGAGGGGGAAGCGGAAUUCUCGGUGUAGCAGUGAAAUGCGUAGAUAUCGCGAGGAACACUCGUGGCGAAGGCAGAUUCCUGGACAUUAACUGACGCUGAGGCACGAAAGCCAGGGGAGCGAAAAGGAUUAGAUACCCCUGUAGUC
rnacentral:rRNA from 1 species